UUUUUUUGUUUUGCCUGAUCGAAGCCAGCAAUGUCGGUUCAAAACUACUGCCUGCUGGUCAUAAGUGGCAUACAUUAACUGUUUUAUAUGGUCGCAGUCCAAUUGAAAAAAUAUUGGGCAUGCAUUACCCAAUAAUAACAACAGUUCUGUUUUUGCUUAAAAAUGUUUUUUACAAUUUUUUUUUUACUUUCUGCAGGUAAUAUGCUUGACUUUCGGCGUCGCCACCCACUGCUUCGUUUCUUUGAUACUCCGUAGUGAAAUUGGCUGUAGUUCAACAGCCGUUGAACUACUGCAGGCUUUUCAAAUUAGGUGUCCAUCUCAUCAACCCAGUGAUGAACAUUUUUUGGACUAACGUUUGGUGCGGUUUGGCUGAAAAUUUAUUCCCUAAUUGAGAUCAAGUGCGUUCGACCUUGCCAAGGAUUACUGGUGCCAACACAAGAUGUUACUUCUUGGUAUAUCUUGACCGAAAAGUUUUCCCGUUAUGGAAUUUUGAAAAGAUAUUUCAGGGAAAGUUUCAGAAACACGUUUUCUUAUGGUUAGAUUGACUUGUCGAGAUUCGGAUUUCACCCACUCAGUGCUACGAACUUAACAGGAUUUGCUAGAUUUUAAAAUGAUGCAAUGGGAUCCUCAACUCCAAACACUUUUUAAAUCUCGACUUGUGGUAUUAGAUUUGAUGCGAUUGUUAUCCCUUGUUGAUAUUCCUAAAUAAUCCGGUUUUUUUCAUUAGCAAUUGGAACGGCCACCAAUUUAAAUAGAUUAGAAAGCGGUUGAAUACUGAAUUAUUUAUAUAACAGAUGGCAAAUGUGAACAGGGGUUUGUUGCCAUAGGUGUUAGUUCAUGGACAAACGUAAGAUCAUUUCUCUUAAAUCUUGUUUUCAAACGCAAUACCUUUUCAGACUGGAUAGGGUGAUGGGUGCCAAAAAUGUUUGACUAUGUAAUAGGUAAAUAACUUGCAGUAUUCUUCUGCUGAAAAAUACAAAUACUGAAAAUAGG